AACAUCUCUGUCAGGGAGGUCAAGCUAUGGAUCAGAAGUUUCCAAAAGGAGCUUGUUUUAGCUUGUGAAGGAGCCAAGGAAGGAAGAUCUCUUUUUUGUGACCUCAAAGAUGGAGGAAGAAAGACAGAAUCUAGUANCUGGAAAUGAAGAGUCACCUGUAGCCCCACCUCCCGAACAGUAUGAUCAGAUAAUAAGUGAAAUAUCUACAAUUCCUCCACCUGAUGUACCAUUGGAACAGACAGCACCACAAACCUUUGAAGAUGCCACCCAGGCCCAAGGUGUGAUGACAUAUGGGCAGGUAACAGAAGUUCAGGGUACCGUGGAAGCAGCCGUGGAAGAUUAUAAUAAACCACCGGGUGAAAAAGGUCCUCAGGAAUUAAGUUCAAAGGCGACUAAAGCUGCCUCCCAAAAGCACAACAAACAGCUCGCCAAAGUGCAGUUUGCCAAUCAGAUAAUGAUAAAGAUUUCGGACUUGCCAUUUGAUCAAAUAGAUGCACCUAGCACGGCUUUGCGCUGUCAGGGGAUGCAACUCGUUGAAGGUCUAAGCCUAAUAGAUCCAUCUCUUUGGGCUAAAGAAGAUAUGCUCCGCAUCUGCAUUGCCACCCUUUUUGCCUUGCCCUCCCUUGAAACCUUGCAAAGCCAAAAUGAGGAAGACAUUGAUAUACAGGAAUUGUACAAUAAGACUGUGGAGGCCUUCGAAGCAAUGCUGAAACGGCUGUUAUUACGCAAAGCAAACACAGAUGAAUUGUGCCUACUCUUAGACGUAAGCAAUCAUGAUCCAUAAGAGCAGCAAGGAAUCUGCUGGAACAAGUGNAGCGUGCCUUUGAAUUCUGGUCUCCUGAGAAGGAACCUUGAUUCAUUGGCUUAUGAAAGAGAACUUCCUUUUCACUGCUUCCUCCCUGCCUUUACAGGUUUUCAUUAUUGUGGCAUAUGCUCCAACCUCACACCUGGUUUUCCUGGCAGAAAAAUGGCCUCUUAAAAAAAUUUACCCGCCUCCUUUCAUGCAUAUGGGAGAAAGGGGCAUCACAUGGCCGGAAGAAGUAAAAGGAGGAAGAAGCCCCACGCGCUGAAGGAACAG
rnacentral:lncRNA from 1 species